rnacentral:snRNA from 1 species
AGCUUUGUGCAGUGGCAUUGUUGUAGCCAAUGAGGUUUAUCCAGGGCACGAUUAUUGCUAAUUGAAAAAAAAGAGAGAACAAGAUGCCAUGCUAACACCAAUCAGAAGAAAGUAGGAGUAGCUAUAUUAAUUUCAGACAAAACGAACUUC